CGACGCCAUAUUGAUGUGCAAAUCGAAACAUCGUGGAGUUUGAUGUCAUUGUACCAAUUUGUAUCGAAGGUGAUGAGAAAAUUUUGGUCUUAUCGAAUAUUCAGGAAAAUGAGAAAAAGUAUCAAAGUAUGCUGCCGCGUCAUUACUACGUUCCACUAAUACGCUAAGAUCUCAUGGGUCUGGAUCUAGAACAAGAUGCCAGAUAAUUGAACCAUUGAACGGCAAUGAGUUUCCUAACCGCUAUAUAUGUGAAUGUCGGGCGUGAGUGGAACAGUGCUAGUGAUGCAGUAUUGGAAGAAGACAGCCAGUAUAAAAAUAUUCUCCUAAGUUUUCUG